rnacentral:rRNA from 1 species
CCUACGUGAGGCAGCAGUAGGGAAUAUUGCUCAAUGGGGGAAACCCUGAAGCAGCAACGCCGCGUGGAGGAUGCAGGUUUUCGGAUUGUAACCUCCUUUUGUUAGAGAAGAUAAUGAUGGUAUCUAAAGAAUAAGAACCGGCUCACUCCGUGCCAGCAGCCGCGGUAAUAAGGAGGGUGCAAGCGUUACGCGGAAUCACUGGGCGUAAAGAGCGCGUAGGCGGGAUAGCAAGUCAGAUGUGAAAUCCUAUGGCUUAACCAUAGUAGUGUAUUUGAAACUGUUAUUCUAGAGUAUGGGAGAGGUAGGUGGAAUUCUUGGUGUAGGGGUAAAAUCCGUAGAGAUCAAGAGGAAUACUCAUUGCGAAGGCGACCUGCUAGACCAUAACUGACGCUGAUGCGCGAAAGCGUGGGGAGCAAACAGGAUUAGAUACCCUUGUAGUC